GACUCGCGCAACCUGUCAUAGUCUUCUUCUUCUGCAUAUAUCUCAUUCAGAGCUUCAUUUACAGCAGAUACAUUAUUGCUCUGAACUGCAACCAUAUAUGGCUUA
rnacentral:sRNA from 1 species